rnacentral:lncRNA from 1 species
GUUGGACUGUCACUCUGAGUCCCAUACAAUCAAUUUGAUUUAUUUUUUUUGCUAGGUUUGAAUACUUACCCUCUCCUAAUGAUUACCUCUACCUUACCCUGGCAUGGUGCUGAGGUUUUUUCAACCCCCUAGAAUCAAUCACAUGCUAAUACAUCUUCCUGCUGCCUGUUCCCAGCCCCAUCCCCCCGACAUGCCACAGCACAAGAUUACCUCUCUGAAUGCAGAGAGAAACGAGGAGAGGCUCACAGAACAUGUGAAUCACAAGGAAGUGGUUUCCCUAGUGACAGUAACCACAUGAAAGCUCUCACAUUUACUCUCACGGGACCUUUUAGCACUUUGGAUUGUGGGGAGAGCAAGAAAGCUGGUAAAAAACGCUGUGGUUGGUAAAGAAACAAGCUAACCCUGAAAUGCUAAAUGGUAUGGGCAACCCAUGAGAAGACACCAGCUCCUGGGGAUUUUCAUGAGCUUCACAGCUGCUCACAGGGCCCUCCUCCAGAAGACCAGAGACCUCCAAGAGGGGCAGAACAGCCUGCCCGGGUCCUCACCCCCAUGUGUGGUGGCAGCCGGGGUUGCAGGCAGCUCCCCAACACACACUUGGCUUCCUAUCCUCUCCCCUUGUCGGCGUUUCCCCCCACGGUGCCGUAUGGGGAGGCUGUGGGGACACUGGUGGGGGGGUGAGCAGGACUGUGGUGGCACCGGCACCAGUGCUGGGGACACCGGGUGUCUGCAUGCUGGGGGACAGCACGAAGCCUGGCAUGGAAAGAGUACAGCAGUAGACAGAGAGGCAGAUGGAAAGGAGUGCCUCUGAAAGCCAUGCCCCAAGCAGUCACACUGAGGGAGCCCAGAGAAGUGGUGUCCACAUGGGACAGAGACCACGAAGGAGAAAGUGUCCUCGGCUGAAACACGACUGUCUUUCUCUCCCAUCUUGCCACCCUGGGCACAUUAGCUUAAUAACGAGCUUUUUAGCAGAUUUCAGUGAACAAGAAGCAAUUUAUUUGUCGUCAUGGAGACAAAGAAGACCUUCUGGAAAAGAGCGUUGAAUGGAGAGAAGAAGGUUUAUUGUGCAGAGCAAUGAGGCAUUCACUUGGAACAUUAGCAUCACACAAAGCGGACCAUACAAGAGGUCUUGCUAACUUCUGGAUGCAUGGCUGGAUGCAUUUUGGGUCCUCACUUUCCCUGGAUAAGCCAGGGAACUGGCAGUUGGAGUUUUGCACACAUUAUUUGAUGUCCACCCCUGUUCCUAGAAGACUCUGGGGGAAAGACAAAUGCUCCUUGUUGGUAGCUGGCAUGGCUGAACCUCACUGGUUGCAUUUCUGGUGGAUAUUUCCAGGGACUGAAUUAUCAGAUUCAACUGCCAACUGAACAAACCCAAAUAAGCCAAGAGCAUGCAUCUCAAAGUGUACUUUGUUCAUUUAUUUUGACAACUCUGGUGUUUCUUUAAUUAUUUAUAACACUUCAUACUGUACUGGAGUAGAUUUUUGUAAAAAUAAUGAAG